AAAGAAUCAAGAAGAAUGAGAAGCAUGUAAUGUUCAAUAUCCACAAUAUGUGAAGGUGAAGAAACCAAUGAAGUUGCCAAAAUGUGCUUCAUGGCAAUGGAGGAAAGCUCCAAUGAGGUAACACUAAAUGAUGAUGUUGUUGAAUUUUCUUAUGAUGAACUAGUUAAUGCUCUUAAAGUUAUGAAUGAUAAACUAAAAUUAAGUUAUAAGAGAAAUAA
rnacentral:misc_RNA from 1 species